GGACCCCCAUCAGGGAGAAAGGAUCCAAGGAUCCAGGCUCAGAUUGGACAUGGGACAGCAGAGGACAAGCCAGAGAGAUCCUGGAGUCAUCUCAGAAGGCUUUGGGCAAAGGCACCUCCUGCGUGAAGACCCUGCUGCAGCUGAGCGUCAGACCACGAGGGGACAGCAGGAUUGUGCCCUCGGGGAUCUCUGUCCAGGGUGGAAAGAUCAAAGCUGGCACAAGGUUCUGGUGACUAAAUAAAGCCACUGGAACUCCACCAGCCCGCUUUGCACCCAUGCUGUUGGUGUGCACAGAAGUUACGAAACAAGGAGGCCCGUCUUCUCGGAGCUGAGGAACCAAAUGGUAUCCAACUUGGAAAGAAUGACCUUGGAGCUACGCAUUUGAAGACCAGUCAUUUAUUUGGAGGUCAUCUCAGUUUUCUCAGAAGCUUUUAAGAUAAAUU